AGUGAACGCUGGCGGUAGGCCUAACACAUGCAAGUCGAACGGCAGCACAGUAAGAGCUUGCUCUUACGGGUGGCGAGUGGCGGACGGGUGAGGAAUACAUCGGAAUCUACUUUUUCGUGGGGGAUAACGUAGGGAAACUUACGCUAAUACCGCAUACGACCUACGGGUGAAAGCAGGGGAUCUUCGGACCUUGCGCGAUUGAAUGAGCCGAUGUCGGAUUAGCUAGUUGGCGGGGUAAAGGCCCACCAAGGCGACGAUCCGUAGCUGGUCUGAGAGGAUGAUCAGCCACACUGGAACUGAGACACGGUCCAGACUCCUACGGGAGGCAGCAGUGGGGAAUGUUGGACAAUGGGCGCAAGCCUGAUCCAGCCAUGCCGCGUGGGUGAAGAAGGCCUUCGGGUUGUAAAGCCCUUUUGUUGGGAAAGAAAAGCAGCAGGUUAAUACCCCGCUGUUCUGACGGUACCCAAAGAAUAAGCACCGGCUAACUUCGUG
rnacentral:rRNA from 1 species